rnacentral:lncRNA from 1 species
GGACGUUUGGAUCAAAUCUGAAUAUAAGAGACUCAUUACGCUUUAUGAAAACCCUUUGAAAAACCAUGCAACCCCUAAGACGUGAUGUUCAUCUUAAGUGAAAUUACAAUUAUUAACCACAAGAAGCCAGCGUCAAUUUCAGGGAACCUUCUGACCAAAAUUGCAUCAAAUUAUUUUUCUAAAUAUCCUAAUGGUGAUCAGACAUUAAGACAAUUAGAUAGUUUUAAUCACGAUGAUUAAUAAUUCAAAGCUUGCAUGCAAUCAAUCAUAAGCAAUUAAAUAAAAAGUACAUAUUCAUGCUAAGGCUCAAGGCUUCACCCUAGCAAAACGAAUUAGUUACACAUAUUCAUAACUAAAAUCAUAGGAAAUAUUAUUAAGAAGAAAAGGAAUGAAAACACCUUAAAGU